rnacentral:rRNA from 1 species
GAUGAACGCUGGCGGCGUGCCUAAUACAUGCAAGUCGAGCGAACAGACGAGGAGCUUGCUUCUCUGACGUUAGCGGCGGACGGGUGAGUAACACGUGGAUAACCUCCCUAUAAGUCUGGGAUAACUUCGGGAAACCGGAGCUAAUACCGGAUAAUAUAUUAAACCGCAUGGUUCAAUAGUGAAAGACGGUUUUGCUGUCACUUAUAGAUGGAUCCGCGCCGCAUUAGCUAGUUGGUAAGGUAACGGCUUACCAAGGCAACGAUGCGUAGCCGACCUGAGAGGGUGAUCGGCCACACUGGAACUGAGACACGGUCCAGACUCCUACGGGAGGCAGCAGUAGGGAAUCUUCCGCAAUGGGCGAAAGCCUGACGGAGCAACGCCGCGUGAGUGAUGAAGGUCUUCGGAUCGUAAAACUCUGUUAUUAGGGAAGAACAAAUGUGUAAGUAACUAUGCACGUCUUGACGGUACCUAAUCAGAAAGCCACGGCUAACUACGUG